rnacentral:rRNA from 1 species
GAUGAACGCUGGCGGCGUGCCUAAUACAUGCAAGUCGAGCGAACAGACGAGGAGCUUGCUCCUCUGACGUUAGCGGCGGACGGGUGAGUAACACGUGGAUAACCUACCUAUAAGACUGGGAUAACUUCGGGAAACCGGAGCUAAUACCGGAUAAUAUAUUGAACCGCAUGGUUCAAUAGUGAAAGACGGUUUUGCUGUCACUUAUAGAUGGAUCCGCGCCGCAUUAGCUAGUUGGUAAGGUAACGGCUUACCAAGGCAACGAUGCGUAGCCGACCUGAGAGGGUGAUCGGCCACACUGGAACUGAGACACGGUCCAGACUCCUACGGGAGGCAGCAGUAGGGAAUCUUCCGCAAUGGGCGAAAGCCUGACGGAGCAACGCCGCGUGAGUGAUGAAGGUCUUCGGAUCGUAAAACUCUUUUAUUAGGGAAGAACAAAUGUGGAAGUAACUAUGCACGUCUUGACGGUACCUAAUCAGAAAGCCACGGCUAACUACGUG